UGUCCGGAUGGCUUAGUGCUCAGAGCGUCUGCCUAAUAAGCAGGAGAUCCGGGUUCGAAUCCCAGUCCGGCAG